AAAGUUUUUUUUUUUUUUGAGAUAAAAUCCAUUUAAAGAGGAGAUGUAGUACACUUAUCAGAAAUCUAUACUAAACAGUUGUCCUAACAGCUGUCAUGAAAGUAUUGGUAACCGAGGCGGUGCCUCGGGUUUUCCUAAAAAAAUUAAAAGAAAAAGGAAAAUUAAAGGCCACGGAUAAAAUCCUAAGCAAGCAAAACCUAAAAGAAAAAACUAAAGAAACAUAAACAUAAAUUCUAUCGUCUUUCAAAAAACACAUUUCCUCUUCUUUGCAUCUUUAGACAUUUUAAUAGUGUAUACUGGCUACUCCUUUCCAGCAAUGUAGAUGAUCCCAUUGAAGCGCCAUACCAGAUAUCUCCUAAAUCUGAGUUCAUCAGAGAGAAGAAAAGACAUUCAUUUUGGCAAUACAGCUCCGGACUUAGACAGAAAUGACCUUUUUCUACCGAUUCAAAAAUCUUCUUUGGUCAUUGAUGAUUGUGAGUUCAACCUUCAUCGGUACCUCUUCGAUCCAAUAGGACGGGCUAGUCAAAUUGUACCUUCGAGUUGCAAGGGUGUGCGCUGCUUCAUUUGUCUUUCGAGGGGUAAACUCAAAAGAUAAGUUACCGAAACUGAAUCUUUUGCUUUGGAUUUCAUUAAUAAUGUUGUCAAUCGUCGAUCUAUCCGCUGAUUCUGAUUUAAGCUUUUUAAUGACUGUAAGAGCAUCACCUUCUACAACCAAAUCUCGAAAACUUAUUUCUUUCCCAAAUAUGAUGGCUUGAAGACACGCCUUUGCUUCUGUUGUGGUCGGAUCCCAUAUUAUUCCUAACGUGACCUGUUUUGUGAAUUCGUAAUCUCGAAAAAGGUGUUCCACAGUUUCUUCUCCAACAGAGCAGAUUGGACAUGCAACACCGUUCCUGAGUCUUAGAAGCUUAAGGCUACUGAACGUCGCAAGAAAAUUGUUAGAAACUCUCCACAUAUGUAUUUUUAUUUUAUUGGGGAUCAGGAGAUUCCAAAGCUUUGUAAAAUAAUCUUUUUUGUUGAUUUGGUCUAUAACAUAAUCCUGUAGUUGUAGGGUAUUAGUCAUUAGCCAUUUAAAGCCACUCUAAACUGUGUACUCGCUUGAUUUGUCCCUUCACCAUAUUAUAACAUCCGGUUGAGUCCUGCUUACCAAUGGAGUAGACAGGACUGCCUUGGCUUGAUCCCUUUCUAGUAAGUUCUAGAUUACCUCGAAGUUUCAUAAAAAUGAGUCUUUGUUAAUUAGAUCUGCUACUUUUGAAUAGUUGAUAUUUAUGUGUUGAUUCUUUACUCUUCCAUCAUUAGGGGUAGGUAGCCAAGAAUCAUUCUAGGGCACGUUUGGUUGGGAGGAAUGGAAUAGAACUCUAAUGUAAUAGAGUUGAAAUGGAAUAGAGCUGUAAUAGAAUAGACCUGAAAUGAAUAAUUCAGUUGUUUGGUUGAAUGGAA